rnacentral:sRNA from 1 species
GCCAGGUGCUGUGGCACACACCUGUAAUCCCAGCAGCUCGGGAGGCUGAGACAGGAGGAUCGUGAGUUCAAAGCCAGCCUCAGCAACAGCAAGGUGCAAAGCAACUCAGUGAGACUCUGUCUCUA